rnacentral:snRNA from 1 species
AGCUUUGCGCAGUGGCAGUAUCGUAGCCAAUGAGGUUUAUCCGAGGCGCGAUUAUUACUAAUUGAAGAUACACGAGAUGAUUUCUUAAGUCCUAUUGGGAAAAAGUGAAACUCUCCUGCAGCAAGA